AUGAGACAGCUGUCCACAAGAGACCAAAAUGACACAGACAUUAACAACUAUAGGUCACCGUACGGCCUUCAACAAUGAGCAAAGACCAUACCGCAUAGUCAGCUAUAAAAGGCCCCGAUAAGAAAAUGUAAAACAAUUCAAACGAGAAAACUAACGGCCUUAUUUAUAUAAAAAAAAAUGAACGAAAAACAAAUAUGUAACACAUAAACAAACGAC
rnacentral:lncRNA from 1 species